UACGAAGGGGGCUAGCGUUGUUCGGAAUUACUGGGCGUAAAGCGCGCGUAGGCGGUGAUCCAUGUCAGAGGUGAAAUCCCGGGGCUCAACUCCGGAACUGCCUUUGAAACGGGAUCGCUAGAGUCCGAGAGAGGAUGGCGGAAUUCCUAGUGUAGAGGUGAAAUUCGUAGAUAUUAGGAAGAACACCGGUGGCGAAGGCGGCCAUCUGGCUCGGUACUGACGCUCAGGCGCGAAAGCGUGGGGAUCAAACAGG
rnacentral:rRNA from 1 species